rnacentral:rRNA from 1 species
GGCGUCCGAGUUGUAAUUUGUAGAGGAUGCUAUUGGGUUGCCACCGGUCUAAGUUCCUUGGAACAGGACGUCACAGAGGGUGAGAAUCCCGUAUGUGACCGGCCAGGCGCCUUCUGUAUAGCUCCUUCGACGAGUCGGGUUGUUUGGGAAUGCAGCCCUAAAUGGGAGGUAAAUUUCUUCUAAAGCUAAAUACCGGCCAGAGACCGAUAGCGCACAAGUAGAGUGAUCGAAAGAUGAAAAGCACUUUGGAAAGAGAGUUAAAAAGCACGUGAAAUUGUUGAAAGGGAAGCGCUUGCAAUCAGUCUCGACGGCGGCUGUUCGGCCUCUCUUCUGAGUGGUUUAUUCAGUCGCCGCCGGGCCAGCAUCAGUUUUGGCGGCCGGAUAAAGGCGCGGGGAAUGUAGCUCCUCCGGGAGUGUUAUAGCCCCGCGUGCAAUACGGCCCGCCGGGACUGAGGUCCGCGCUUCGGCUAGGAUGCUGGCGAAAUGGUUGUAAGCGGCCCGUCUUGAAACACGGACCAAGGAGUCUAACAUCUACGCGAGUGUUUGGGUGUCAAACCCGUGCGCGCAAUGAAAGUGAACGGAGGUGGGAACCGCAAGGUGCACCAUCGACCGAUCCUGAUGUCUUCGGAUGGAUUUGAGUAAGAGCGUAGCUGUUGGGACCCGAAAGAUGGUGAACUAUGCCUGAAUAGGGUGAAGCCAGAGGAAACUCUGGUGGAGGCUCGCAGCGGUUCUGACG